GCGCUCGCUUCAGCAGCACUUAUGCUAAAAUUGGAAAGAUACAGAGAAGAUUAGCAUGGCCCCUGCACAAGGAUGACAUGUAAAUUCAUGAAGUGUUCCAUAAAAUA